rnacentral:miRNA from 55 species
UAGGUAGUUUCAUGUUGUUGGG